rnacentral:rRNA from 1 species
GCCUUCGGGUUGUAAACCUCUUUCAGUAGGGAAGAAGCGAAAGUGACGGUACCUGCAGAAGAAGCGCCGGCUAACUACGUGCCAGCAGCCGCGGUAAUACGUAGGGCGCAAGCGUUAUCCGGAAUUAUUGGGCGUAAAGAGCUCGUAGGCGGUUUGUCGCGUCUGCCGUGAAAGUCCGGGGCUCAACUCCGGAUCUGCGGUGGGUACGGGCAGACUAGAGUGAUGUAGGGGAGACUGGAAUUCCUGGUGUAGCGGUGAAAUGCGCAGAUAUCAGGAGGAACACCGAUGGCGAAGGCAGGUCUCUGGGCAUUAACUGACGCUGAGGAGCGAAAGCAUGGGGAGCGAACAGGAUUAGAUACCCUGGUAGUCCAUGCCGUAAACGUUGGGCACUAGGUGUGGGGGACAUUCCACGUUUUCCGCGCCGUAGCUAACGCAUUAAGUGCCCCGCCUGGGGAGUACGGCCGCAAGGCUAAAACUCAAAGGAAUUGACGGGGGCCCGCACAAGCGGCGGAGCAUGCGGAUUAAUUCGAUGCAACGCGAAGAACCUUACCAAGGCUUGACAUGGACCGGACCGGGCUGGAAACAGUCUUUCCCCUUUGGGGCUGGUUUACAGGUGGUGCAUGGUUGUCGUCAGCUCGUGUCGUGAGAUGUUGGGUUAAGUCCCGCAACGAGCGCAACCCUCGUUCUAUGUUGCCAGCACAU